rnacentral:rRNA from 1 species
UACGAAGGGGGCUAGCGUUGUUCAGAAUUACUGGGCGUAAAGGGCUCGUAGGCGGCCAACUAAGUCGGAUGUGAAAUCCCCAGGCUUAACCUGGGAACUGCAUCCGAUACUGGAUGGCUUGAAUCCGGGAGAGGGAUGCAGAAUUCCAGGUGUAGCGGUGAAAUGCGUAGAUAUCUGGAGGAAUACCGGUGGCGAAGGCGGCAUCCUGGACCGGCAUUGACGCUGAGUGAGCGAAAGCUAGGGGAGCAAACGGG